GAUGAACGCUGGCGGCGUGCCUAAUACAUGCAAGUCGAGCGAACGGCCGAGAAGCUUGCUUCUCUGAUGUUAGCGGCGGACGGGUGAGUAACACGUGGAUAACCUACCUAUAAGCCUGGGAUAACUUCGGGAAAACGGAGCUAAUACCGGAUGAUAUUUUGAACCGCAUGGUUCAAAAGUGAAAGACGGUCUUGCUGUCACUUAUAGAUGGAUCCGCGCUGCAUUAGCUAGUUGGUAAGGUAACGGCUUACCAAGGCAACGAUGCAUAGCCGACCUGAGAGGGUGAUCAGCCACACUGGAACUGAGACACGGUCCAGACUCCUACGGGAGGCAGCAGUAGGGAAUCUUCCGCAAUGGGCGAAAGCCUGACGGAGCAACGCCGCGUGAGUGAUGAAGGUCUUCGGAUCGUAAAACUCUGUUAUUAGGGAAGAACAUAUGUGUAAGUAACUGUGCACAUCUUGACGGUACCUAAUCAGAAAGCCACGGCUAACUACGUG
rnacentral:rRNA from 1 species